UGGUACACACUUCAUUUGCAAAAUACUUUCAUUUUGAAGAGAAGAAAAGAACCUUCGAGCUAGGGCAGAGAAAAGAAGAGCACGCGAAGAAGAGGAGCUGACCGGACCUUGACCGGAGUUCACUGGCACUUGACCGGAGAUGAUGAAGAUUAUCGGAUGGUUGGAAGUAGAGCUCGAGUAGGAAGAAAGAUGACCGUCCGAUCAGAACGUCAAAGCGUCGAGAGCAAGCUUCCUUUUUCCCUCGUUUUUUUUUCGUUCCAUUUUUUUCUUUUCUUCAAACCCUAUAAAAGGGGGCUCCUGCCAUGUAAAUACAUAUUUUUUUUUACAGACUUACACAGAGGCACUUUCAGAUACAGUUUUACACUUUGUAGAUUAGGUUUUUAUGCUUUCUAUAGAACAGGUUUUCGUUCUCUCUGCUUUUG
rnacentral:lncRNA from 1 species